AUGGAGGAGGAGCGCCUUGCUACGGCCAGCGCCGCCAGCAAGGCCACGGCCAUGAUGCGGCGCCUGCAGAAGGAGAAGGCCGAGGUCUAGAUGGAGCUCCGUCAGUUCCGCCGCUUCGACGCCGAGAUCGACCACCUCUGCGCCCUCAUCGCCCGCCUCACGCGAGUCCGCUACAGGCAUCACGCCUACAGGAAUCUCUUGUUACCAUCAGCGUUCACCUCAUCAUCAACGUGUUCUCCUUGCUGUCUCGGGUCGCUGAAUAUUAACACCCAAGCAUGAUCUGUGCUAGAGCCUUUCCGGCAAUUCGGAACUGAACUCUUCAUUUUCUGAAGUCCUUCAAAAUUUUCAGGGUCAAGAUGAUGAAGAUAGAAAGCUGCAGAGGGCCUGAGCGGUGGUACUC
rnacentral:lncRNA from 1 species